rnacentral:snRNA from 14 species
GGAUGUGAGGGUGACCUGGCUGCCACAUCUGUCACCCCCUGAUCACCAGAGUCGAACCGGCUGUGUGGAGGGCUAGGCAUGUGUCUCGGUCCUUCCUCACCACUCCACCUGUGUCCCUCCUGAAGCUAAGCCUUUCCUCCUCAGGACAUUUCUCCAGUCAGGGGUACAGGAGUGGCUGCGUUCCCCUGCCAGAACCCCCACACAAGCCUUCAUUGAUUUGUUCAU